rnacentral:rRNA from 1 species
UACGGGGGGGGCAAGCGUUGUUCGGAAUUACUGGGCGUAAAGGGAGUGUAGGCGGCUUGUUAAGUCUUCUGUGAAAUCUACGGGCUCAGCCUGUAACGUGCAGAGGAAACUGGCGAGCUUGAGUGUCGGAGAGGAUAGGGGAAUACCCGGUGUAGAGGUGAAAUUCGUAGAGAUCGGGUGGAACACCAGUGGCGAAGGCGCCUAUCUGGCUGACAACUGACGCUGAGACUCGAAAGCAUGGGGAGCAAACAGG